rnacentral:sRNA from 1 species
UGGCAAAGUCUUGUAUGAAUUUUGAGUCC